AUGGCUAUGUCCUUAGAGGACUCUGGUGGAAUGAAUGCAUCUCCGGUUGAGGUUGUGUCCUUAGAGGACUCUGGUGGAUUGACUGCGUUUAUAAUUAGGGUAGUGUCCUUAGAUGACUUUGGUGGAAUGGAGUUUUUAGUUGGGGUUGAGUUUUUCUUAGAGUACUCUACAUAUUCAGGAUACGAAGGAAAUACUCUUCCGUUUUCAAUUGAUGAGUAA